GGGGCUGUAGCUCAGCUGGGAGAGCGCGUGCUUUGCAAGCAUGAGGUCACCGGUUCGAUCCCGGUCAGCUCCACCA
rnacentral:tRNA from 1 species